AGUGAACGCUGGCGGCGUGCUUAACACAUGCAAGUCGAACGGGAGAAGCUGGUGCUUGCACUAGCCUAUCUAGUGGCAUACGGGUGAGUAAUACAUGGGAAUCUGCCUCGCAGUAUGGAAUAACUGUUGGAAACAAUAGCUAAUACCGUAUAUUGCCGAAAGGUGAAAGAUUUAUCGCUGCGAGAUGAGCCCAUGCAAGAUUAGCUAGUUGGUGGGGUAAUGGCCUACCAAGGCUUUGAUCUUUAGCUGGUCUGAGAGGAUGGUCAGCCACACUGGAACUGAGACACGGUCCAGACUCCUACGGGAGGCAGCAGUGAGGAAUAUUGGACAAUGGGCGAAAGCCUGAUCCAGCGACGCCGCGUGAGUGAUGAAGGCCUUAGGGUUGUAAAGCUCUUUUAGUGGGGAAGAUAAUGACGGUACCCACAGAAAAAGCCCCGGCUAACUUCGUGCCAGCCGCCGCUGUAA
rnacentral:rRNA from 1 species